AUGAUGUUCUUCCUUGUAUUAAUGUGUUGGAUUGGCAUUGCUGCUGGUGUUGAUGAAGAUGAUGAUGAUGAGAUUGAGUCGCGAACUGUGUCUGAAGGAGGAAACCUCACGAUCUCUGUUCACAUUGAGAAGUGGGACGAAGACCCUCAGGUUUUGGUGACCCGUCUCAGAGGCUCCUCACAGGAACCGAUAGCGCAGCUAUUGUGUCAUAACGGAGCCUGUGAACAGGAGUGCUGGAGAUCCGGAGUUUCUCUCACUUCUGAUGGACAGAAUAUAACUCUGAUCCUGAUGAACAUCAGCUACAGUCAAACGGGGCUUUACAAGGUCUGCAAACUGAGCAGACAACCGGGAUACAAGAUCUACAACCUUACAGUGUAUCAGCCUCCACUCAGCACCAUCAAUCCUGAUCAACCAGAAUCUGCUGUGUUCAGUCAAUUAUUAACUGCAGGCCUAAGCGCAGCUGCAGUCCUCACUUUACUGGUCAUUAUGUGCGCUGUUAUUGGUGUCAUUUAUAGGAAACGAGGAAGGAGGUGCCUCAGUCAACACUCACUAAGUGAUCAUGGAAGUUACUUAUAGUGACUGUAUUAUUGCAAGCUCAUCCAGUGCAGGACUAAGCUGAAUGAAAUGACAAGACGGGUCGGCUGUUAAUAAGAGGAACCACUGAGGAAUGUAACCACUGUGCUGACCCUGGGACACUGGUGCUGUUUUACCAAGAGAUCUCAAGUGACUGAGAGGCAGCUACUGACACAACAGCUGUUAAUUAUAACAUUGCUUAUCUAUCCUUGAACUCCACAAGACAUUAGGGUGUCCCGUUUGUCAUUUUAUAAUUUAAUAAUAAGUCUCCAAACACUGAAGAUUGUCCACCAGAUGGUGCCAAAGCUUUAGAAAUACUGUUUAAUCUAAGACUAUAGCAUCAGUAUGAAUGGCUAAAUAACUGUUUCUUGUAAUUGUAGCACCAUUGUACACUAAAAAUACCUCCUUUGUUUUAUCAAAUUAGUUUGCAAAGAAAAAGCACACUUAUAUCAUUUUGGCAUUUAAAUGGGUAGCUGAAUUAUUUAUUAGUUUUUAAGUGUUCAUACAGAUACUGUAGCGCUUAUCAUAGCUUUUAUGCACUCUAAGUAGUAAGCUCGGUAUUUUUUAUAUAUUAGAUUUUAGCAUUCAAUUUAGUUUAACAUAAGAGUCCUUUUGAAAAUCAGCUGGCGAUUUUGGGAUCAUGUGUGAUUUACUGAUUUGUUUAUUUAAACCCUAACUUACCAGUGGAGAUUCAAGAAAGUACUUUAUUUUUUUUUACUUAAUUAUUGAUAUAAGCUGUUGGUUUUGGACCAAGAUGGUUUUCGCACUUUUUUUUAGUUUAUUUGUUGUUCCUGUAUGAAUUGUGAGCAGCAUUAUACGAUUUUAUAUCGUCUGUGCAUUCUGUUGAUUAUUUGUAUUGUUUGUAUUUAUUUUAUUAUUUAAAAUAUAUUCCAGUGUUACUGAAGACUGUACAUUUUGUUAAUCUUCUCUGAAUAAAUAGAUUUACAACAGUGUAUUUCUUAAAAUC
ensembl:lncRNA